AUUCAAAAAUAUUCUGCAGGCAUGACUGCCGAACUCCAGUUGGCUCAAAAUUUACUAGCGGAUGACUGUGAGAAAGUAUUCCUCUUGAAGGAGACUCCGUGGCAAUUAAGAAAUAAUCCACUGACUACAACAAAUACGUAGAUGGAGAGCUGUAUUGCUGCUUUGUAUCCUGCAAGCAACAGCUCUAUCUGCACUCUGGAAAUGGGUGUUGGCUCUACCUGAGAUGCGCAUUAAUCCACUUGGCCAGAAACAGUUCAGGAGAGGAGGAUAUGAAUUACAGAAUGCUCAGCCCGACAAUAAGCACCCGCAGCAUCUUCACACAAAAGAGACUCAAAACCAAAAAAUCAACUUUAAAAGAGAUUGAGGCUGUGACAUGGUUUCUGAUGCAAAGUCAAAACUCUUAAAGAGAAAACAAACAAGCAAAAAACCAACACUAAGUCCAAGGCAGACAAUCCCAACAGUUAAUACUCUGAGGUAUUUUAUGCGUCAGCAGCCUGAGCAAUGGCAGGAGCUGAUUACUGGAACAAGAGAGUGACCAUCAGUAGCUACUUCUGAAGAAACCACCACAGAAACAGAGCUACUGCCAUUAUGAAACAAAGGUAUCUAUCACCAAGUUGAAAACAUCGUCCUGGAGUAGGAUAACCUUUUGGACAGAGGUAUUUGAAGCUUUCUGGUGAAAGUGAACAUCAUAAAAAUUCCCUGUUCUAGCAGGUUUUAUGUCAUGAGUCAUGGUUUUAUGAUUUUUGGUUAAUGGUAUUCCACAUCAUAACAUCAUGUAGUGCACUGGAAGUUAAAGUGUUAAUACUCCAGUUCUGGACUCCUGUCCAGAAGAGAAGAACUAUAUUCCCCAGGGAGCUUUGCGGUCAGAGAGGAGAUAUAACCUCUGGCAAAGUCACCUGAUGCCUCUUCUUUCCCUCAGCUCUCUCCCCACAUUGCCUCAGCACUACUGUAAGGCCUACAGCUUUCAGAUACUCUUUCU